GUGCUUGCUUUGGUAGCACAUAUACUAAAAUUGGAAUAAUACAGAGAAGAUUAGCAUGGCCUUUAUGCAUAAGUGUUUCAUAUUUUGAAAAAAAUUAUUAGCAAAACUGU
rfam:Ictidomys tridecemlineatus contig055255, whole genome shotgun sequence.